rnacentral:rRNA from 1 species
UGAAAGUUUGUGGCUCAACCAUAAAAUUGCCAUUGAAACUGGGAGACUUGAGUAUGUUUGAGGUAGGCGGAAUGCGUGGUGUAGCGGUGAAAUGCAUAGAUAUCACGCAGAACUCCGAUUGCGAAGGCAGCUUGCCAAGCCAUAACUGACACUGAAGCACGAAAGCGUGGGUAUCAAACAGGAUUAGAUACCCUGGUAGUCCACGCAGUAAACGAUGAUUACUAGGAGUUUGCGAUAAAAUGUAAGCUCUACAGCGAAAGCGUUAAGUAAUCCACCUGGGGAGUACGCCGGCAACGGUGAAACUCAAAGGAAUUGACGGGGGCCCGCACAAGCGGAGGAACAUGUGGUUUAAUUCGAUGAUACGCGAGGAACCUUACCCGGGUUUGAACGCAGUCCGACCGCCGAUGAAAGUCGGCUUCUAGCAAUAGCGGAUUGCGAGGUGCUGCAUGGUUGUCGUCAGCUCGUGCCGUGAGGUGUCGGCUUAAGUGCCAUAACGAGCGCAACCCUUGCCGUUAGUUACUAACAAGUUAUGUUGAGGACUCUAGCGGGACUGCCAGCGUAAGCUGUGAGGAAGGCGGGGAUGACGUCAAAUCAGCACGGCCCUUACAUCCGGGGCGACACACGUGUUACAAUGGCGUGGACAAAGAGCAGCCACUUGGCGACAAGGAGCUAAUCUCCAAACCACGUCUCAGUUCGGAUCGGAGUCUGCAACUCGACUCCGUGAAGCUGGAUUCGCUAGUAAUCGCGCAUCAGCCAUGGCGCGGUGAAUACGUUCCCGGGCCUUGUACACACCGCCCGUCAAGCCAUGGGAGCCGGGGGUACCUGAAGUCCGUAACCGCGAGGAUCGGCCUAGGGUAAAACUGGUGACUGGGGCUAAGUCGUAACAAGGUAACCA